AAUAGAUACCCCGGUAGUCCACGCCGUAAACGAUGAGUGCUAAGUGUUAGAGGGUCUCCGCCCUUUAGUGCUGCAGCUAACGCAUUAAGCACUCCGCCUGGGGAGUACGGCCGCAAGGCUGAAACUCAAAGGAAUUGACGGGGGCCCGCACAAGCGGUGGAGCAUGUGGUUUAAUUCGAAGCAACGCGAAGAACCUUACCAGGUCUUGACAUCCUCUGACAACCCUAGAGAUAGGGCUUUCCCCUUCGGGGGACAGAGUGACAGGUGGUGCAUGGUUGUCGUCAGCUCGUGUCGUGAGAUGUUGGGUUAAGUCCCGCAACGAGCGCAACCCUUGAUCUUAGUUGCCAGCAUUCAGUUGGGCACUCUAAGGUGACUGCCGGUGACAAACCGGAGGAAGGUGGGGAUGACGUCAAAUCAUCAUGCCCCUUAUGACCUGGGCUACACACGUGCUACAAUGGAUGGUACAAAGGGCUGCAAACCUGCGAAGGUAAGCGAAUCCCAUAAAGCCAUUCUCAGUUCGGAUUGC
rnacentral:rRNA from 1 species